rnacentral:rRNA from 1 species
CGCGGCCUAUCAGCUUGUUGGUGGGGUAAUGGCCUACCGAGGCGACGACGGGUAGCCGGCCUGAGAGGGUGUCCGGCCACACUGGGACUGAGAUACGGCCCAGACUCCUACGGGAGGCAGCAGUGGGGAAUAUUGCACAAUGGGCGCAAGCCUGAUGCAGCGACGCCGCGUGGGGGAUGACGGCCUUCGGGUUGUAAACCUCUUUCAGUAGGGACGAAGCGUAAGUGACGGUACCUACAGAAGGAGCACCGGCCAACUACGUGCCAGCAGCCGCGGUAAUACGUAGGGUGCGAGCGUUGUCCGGAAUUACUGGGCGUAAAGAGCUCGUAGGUGGUUUGUCGCGUUGUUCGUGAAAUCUCACAACUCAAUUGUGAGCGUGCGGGCGAUACGGGCAGACUGGAGUACUGCAGGGGAGACUGGAAUUCCUGGUGUAGCGGUGGAAUGCGCAGAUAUCAGGAGGAACACCGGUGGCGAAGGCGGGUCUCUGGGCAGUAACUGACGCUGAGGAGCGAAAGCGUGGGGAGCGAACAGGAUUAGAUACCCUGGUAGUCCACGCCGUAAACGGUGGGUACUAGGUGUGGGUUUCCUUCCUUGGGAUCCGUGCCGUAGCUAACGCAUUAAGUACCCCGCCUGGGGA